rnacentral:lncRNA from 1 species
CUUGGCCACCACACUCUCAUGGCUUCCUCUGGUCUGAUUGUUUCACUGCCAGGUUUCCAACCAGCAGGGCAAACUUCUCCAUGCUUGUCCGUGUAUUGGAAUGCUUGUACCAAACGAAGCGUUUCAUCCACUGAUCUCCCCACAGGAAGGUCAUUCAUGGUGAUCUGUCGAAGGAUUCUCUUAUCGUCAAUUAUGAAAAGGCCCCUAAGUGCAUGUCCUUGAUCUUCCAGAUAUACACCAUAGUCCUUGGAAAUCUGGUGUGUUAAAUCUGAAAGAAGCGGAAUCUUCAUUGGUCCGAGUCCUCCUUGUUUUCGAGGAGUAUUAAUCCAUGCUAAGUGAGUGAACUUGGAGUCCACGGAACAUGCUACUACUUCGGUGUUUAUUGCUCUGAAUUCCUCAAUUCUGUCACUGAAGGCGAUUAUCUCAGUGGGACAUACAAACGUGAAGUCAAGGGGAUAGAAGAAGAAGACAAGAUAUUUUCCUUCAUAAUCUGUUAAUUUCAGCUCUUUAAACUCUCCAUUAAUGACCGCUGUUCCUUCCCAGUAAGGCGCUGGCUUCGAGAUCUUGGCCUGGCUGAGGUGCAGCGAGUGGUCGGUGACGGGCACGCGGGCCGCCUCCCCGGGGUAGACCUGUCCCCCCGCGUAGUAGUGGCACUGCUCGUCCCCGCGCUGCCGCGGCGGCCGCGGCUCCUCCGCCUCCGCCCCCAUCGCCCCGUGCAGCAGCAAGGCCAGCAGCAGCGCGCGGCUCCCGACCCCCGCCCGCGGCCCCCGCCGAGCCGCCUCCAUGGCCCGCCGAUCGAGUGCACGUCCCCGCCGCGCGGCGCGGAGGGGCGGUGGCGGGGAGGAGCUUGGCCGCCCUCCGGCGCCCGUAGGGCCCCGGCAUCGCCUCACGGCGCUGCGCCGCCAGGGGGAGCGGCUCCGCCCCGCCGUGGGACCGCGGGGUCGGUGGUUCUGACCUUGUGGUUGCUUGACCGCCGCAGGGGGUGUGGUGCGUUGUGUACUUCUCUAGAGAGAAAGAAUAAAGAGGUAUUUGGGGAGGGAGAGCGUGCGUGCGGUGCGUGAUUGCAGAAGGGAAC